AAUAUGAUGAAAUUGUUUCUCCGUUUUAUCUUUUGGUUUCUGUUUUCAAAAUGCGUUCCAUUUUCCGCUUCUGUUCGGUUAAACUGAACCAGUUGAAAAGCAUAAUUAGCAUUUAAAUCUGUCUUUUACAGGAACAACCAUCUCUCUCACACUCUCUCUCUCUCUCUAAUACUCUUUCUCUCAAGCUAUCUCUAUCAUGCUCUCUCUCUUUCUUGUUUAUGUUCUUUCUCUCUCACUUAUGCCCUCUCUCUCUCUCUCUCUCUCUCUCUCACUCACUCUCUCUCUCCAUGUCUCUGUCGCUAAGGCAACCAAUGCUUUUUCUCACUCUGACACACUCUGGCUCUCUCCCACUCCCUCCUUCAGCAGCGAGCGUAGUGUUAAAGACGUCAUCGGAUCUAAAUCCAGUUGCUGAGUUAUUGCCUGAGUCAGGAACUGGAUUAAAGCAGUGGAUGUGUCUACAGCUGCAGCGUCGUUCCCCCCUACAGCCAUCUGUUUACGAUCUUUCAGUAAGUGUCAGGAGCCAAGCGCUCCCCCUCUCCUCGUCUCCCUCUUUCAAGAGAUGAUCAGAGGAGCGAACAACCAGUGAAAAGAGAAGCGAUGGAGCGAUGCUCCGUCUCUGGACUCACUGCUCUCUUGCGCCUCCUGCUGGUUGCCGUCAUCAUUUGUCCCCCUCAUUGCCGUGCGGGCGACGAGCCUGUCGACAUGCAGCUGUCCGCUACACCCCAGGCCACACCCACUCCGCUCUGGGCAGUCGACUGGGGUCCCACGCAGCCGCUGGAGGACGAGACGCAUCACUUCCUGUCCAGUCAGGAAGUCGAGGGCGUGAAGCAGGCCACACCCGAGGUGUGGCCGCGUCGCAGGAACGCCCAAGCCAACCAAACCCAACAGCAGCCGCUGUCCAUCGAAGCCAAGGACUCGGCAGAGGAGCAGGAACGAGACGCAGAGGAAAGAGAGAUUGAAGAAGUGGAUCCUCAGUUUUACGUCACCGUGACUAUCUCAUCUCUCCUGAUUCUCUCUGCGCUCAUCAUAUCGGCCAAACUCUGUUAUGACCGCAGCCUGUCUCAGCGUCCUCCCCCUCUUUCCCUCGCCAUCCCUCGUUCCCUGGCCCCAGAGGAUAGCAGGCACACACUUCAGAGCACCCCCUCGUUCCCUGACAGAGAAAGACUUCCUGUGGUCAAUCUUUGAAGAACUGACUGUACCAAGCUUUCUAAUCACAUCCUCUGGGCAUGGAAUGUGAAAAAAACAAGGGUAACUAUGAGAACAAACAUAGAACAUGCGGAACUGCAUGAAGACGGAUACAUGAAAGAGAAUAUGUGGGGAUGGACGAGGCUCUGAGGAUUGGGGCUGUAUAUAUAUAUAUAUAUAUAUAUUGGCACAUUUUCUGGACGGAUGUACAGACAUGGAACGGAGGCCGUACAUUCUUUCAAGCCAGAGAUUCAGGCUCUCUUCUUCAGCCAUUUUGAAACAUUCCGUUUGUUUUUUUUUUCCCCCGUCGUCGUUUGAAUCGUUUCUUUCGCCGUCGCACAUAUAGUAUUCCUUCUCUGUACUUAUUGCAGCCAUUCCUGAAAGCUUAAUGAAUUCUACCUGCUUGCUGAGCUGUACCGUCGUCUUUAUUAUCGGUUUAUGAUCCGGUUUAUUACUCGCCCCGUUUAUAGUGAUCGCUCUCUCGCCCAGACCCCUCCCUCCCUCCCUCCCUCCCUCCCUCCCGCCUGCUGUAGCAUUUACUAAGGUUCAAGGAACGGCUGCAUUUCGUGCCAAGUGUGUUAAAUGUAGCCUCUUUUCUACGCCUCUGUAUUUCGACUGUUCGGUUUUAUAUAGCUCGCACUCUUUUCGCGACAGCGACGUGAUGAUGUUUACAAGCAUAGAGCCCAUCGACCUCACGCUAGAAAGCUCUACAGGACACGCCUGUGAUGUGUUUCUCGUUAAUGUUUACAGAACCGUGGAUGCACAUUGGUGAAUGUAUUAUGACGACUUUAUCUAGUGGCCGACGCCGCCCUCGGCGUCUCGGAGAAACACGGAAUAGCGGUCCGAGACUGAACCGACGGCCAUGUGCCGGACGCUUUGUCCAAGUCGCGUGAAGGUUUUCGAAUGGCCAGUGUUCAUAUUCAGAGCCGCUCUUAGCGAGGGAUUUUGACAUUUUAAAAGCCAUGAGCACACUGUACGGUUUUAGUAACGUCGUCGUGUGGUGAAACUCCGUAGUGCAUGAUUAGAUCGCCCAUCCUCACGGCGUGAUCGAAAUGCCGUGACGGUAACCGAGACACAGGCGCCGUGGAUAAAAACCCGAUCGAAUUGCUCGGUGCGAACGCAUAGUGCAUGCUGCUCAGCUGUAAUGUACAGAAAACACACUUAGCUACAGCCGUUAAAACACCAGCGAUCACUUGACAAUGUUCUUCACUAUUACUGAGACACCUUCCAGAUGUUUCGUGAGACUUCUUACACUGCAAGACAAAUGACCAUGUCACAUAAUCCUGCAACCAUAGAACAGCUCAGACAUUCUUUUAGGGCAGUUAAUCAGGCGUUCGCGUACCCCGGCGCUCAAAAGAGCUCAGAUAUUUGCUGUAGCGGCAAAGAGGAAGGACGUCAAGGGCUGAAAGCGUUGCAGAAGACAGUGGUUACGAUAAGAAAUCCAUUCCCAGACCCCGAAGAGGAGUCUUGCAUGGUCCUGCUGGCAUUUUUGUUGAGAACUCGGUUUAAAAAAAACAAACAAAAAAAUUAACGUACGUUAUUCGUCCGACAGAACCCUUUCACACAUCACUCGUCUGACAUCACUAGUAGAAACCGUGACUCGGUUCCACACGGCUGACGUUUUCACUGUUUAUCUGCUGCUCGAACUGUUUGAACGAGUCUGAGCCAAGGACUGGGGCAGGAGUGCAAAGCACACGACGGCGAUUUCAAUCUCUGACCAAUUAUCAUUCCUGUUAACGUUAUUCGUAAAGACUUUCUGACACUUCACCGUAGGCCUAUUCCGGUCGAAUCCAAUAAGUGUAGAUAUAGAGCUGGCACCGAUACCACUUCCGGUACUGAUACUGAUGGCGUGAGCUUGAUACCCGCCUGAUAUUCCUAUCCUAUCUGAAGCACUUUAUUAGGAACACCUGUACACCUACACGUUCAUGCAAUUCUCUAAUCGGCCAAUCGUGUUGCAGCGGUACGACGCGAACAUGUGAUCUCGGUGAUUCUGACCGUUGGUACCAGACGGGCUGGUUUGAGUAUUUCUAUAACUGCUGAUCUCCUGGGAUUUCCACUCGGAGCAGUCUGCUUAGAACGGUGCAAUAAAGGGAAAUGAGAGAGAGGUGGACAGAAAAUGUCCAGACUGGUUCAAGUAACAGAUACAGUACAGUAUAACCACUGUGUACAAUCGCGGUGAGCAGAAAAGCAGCUCGGAAUGCACAACACGUCGAACCUCGAGGCGCACGGGCUACGACGGGUUCCACUUCUGUCAGCCAAGAACAGAAAGCUGAGGACGCACCGGGCACAGGCUCACCGAAACUGGACAAACGUAGCCUGGUCUGAUGAAUCUGGAUUUCUGAUGAGGCGCACACCGGUGGUAAGGUCAGAAUUUGGCACCAGCAACAUGAAUCCACGGAAGUGCGUCGCGUCAACAGUCCAGACUGGUGGAGGUGGUGUGGGAAAUGUUUUCUUGGCACACUUUGGGAGCGUCGAUACCAAGCAAUCGUCGCUUCAACGCCACGGCCUAUUUGAGAAUUGCAAAAGCAAAAGUCAGUGUGCGAACACUGUUUUCCUGAAUUUCGAGUUCAGUGUACUUUAAUGGCCUGCGCAGUCACUGGAUCGGAAUCCACUAGAACAGCACUUUAACAUGAAAGUGCGUCUGAAAAAUCUGCAGCAACCGCGUGAUGCCAUCACGUCAGAAUCUCACACGAGUGUUUCUAACAUCUUGUGCAAUCUAUGCCACGAAGAUCUGAGGCUGUUCCGAGACCCUACCCAGUAUUAGUACAGUGUUCCUAAUAAAGUGUCCGGUGAGUGUAUAUUUUAAAGUAUAAAAUUGCUGAAAGGAAAAAUGAGUUUCUUUACACGUCGGGGUCCGAAAGUCUGAGACCACAUUGAAAAUCUGGGUUGUUUUGUUUUU
ensembl:lncRNA